AAGGGUUGGCUGCUGCUCUGUCUGGAAUAAUAAAGCAAAGCUCUCCCUAAAUUCCUUAGACAAUGCACAGGACCAUGAAGAAGAGUUUUGGGAAAGUUUAGGCUCCUAUCUGAAUAAAAAAAUAACACAGAAGAAAUAUGCAGCAAUAUACAAGAAGGAAAGAAUGAGGGUGAAAUUACCAUGCCACGAAUAUUAGUGGGAUUUUUUUUUUCUUGGCCAAAAUGGUACAAGGAUCUGACUCUGGCGGUAGUGUUAUGAAACAACUGGCAUUCCCCUUGGGUUUUCUCUGAAUGGAAUUAAGGCAGUUAUUUUCUUCCUCCAGAUCUCCAGUUAACUUUAAGGAGCAACUCAGAGGAACUAUGUGAAGCAGAAAUGGAAAGAAUGGCAAGAUUCAUCUUCUGGAGCCUUGACUUUAAAGGAGCUAUCUCUGCCCUUUUCCAAAAGGAACAGCUCUGUGCAGGUAACAAUUACCUAUUUGCACAGAUGCAGCAAGCAAAAUCCCAGAGCAGAACAAAUGCUGAGAUCAACUUCGGAGUUUGUUCCAGCUGAAGUCCUCUCUUGACCCUACGCGAUGCUUUAAUGUCAUAGAGAAUUUCCAGUGCAUCCUGUAAUAAUCCUGCCUCAAAUACCAACCAGUGAACAGUAAUGUCAGAAAAAGGGGGAUGCUGGCUAUAGAGAGGGUUAUUUAGCAAUCUUUUUAUGAUGCUGAAGCUGCACCUACUUUGUGAAAUGCUUGUAUAGUUAAAACUCUAGUUCGCUUGUUCGCUUAUUUGCACAGUAGAAAUAGCAUUAAUUUGGUAGAUGCCAUUUUUAAACAUUGGAGAAAAUUUGAUCCAAACUUCUUGUUCACUUUUAUUCAAAGUAUCCAAUGAAGUCAAUAAUAGAAAGUUGCAUUUCAAUUAUUUAUUUGUGUGAUUUGCCCUCUUUAUUUUAUAGAUUAAGGAAAAGAAAUGCAUGGGUAUGGCCCACAGAUGUCUGUUAACAGCAAGAAAGGGGGAAAUGUUUCAGGGGCGAGGGGGAAACCAUGUUUCUGGAAGUCUGCUACAAAUGAAACAGUGCCCCCUGCUUCUCCUUUAUUCUGCUCUGUCACUGAGUUGGAGAGGGGUUGGGAUGUUUCUUACACUGCUGAUUUCCAUGUGAGUACCUCCCUUUACUUACCCUGAGAAUUAAUACUACUAUGUCAUGGAUUAAGGUAUUUCUUAAUAGGAAUAAAGAUACAGUAGAUAUCUCUAACACAAACAAUUACUCACUCACAGUAUAUAAUAAUUCAUGCUAUUUGUUGUAUGUAACAGUCUCUCUUCACAUAUCUCUUCCAAUUUCAUGCAAUGUCGGCUUUUGGGGAAUAAAGCUGCCUUAAUUGGUUUAAUGUUCUGUACAAGACUACAGUUCAAUACAUACAAAUACUACUGUUUUGCAAGUAUUUUGCUGUUUUGCUGCUUCUUUGGUAGAGAAGAUGACUGAGAUUUCAUGGAAAAAUCUCAGUUGCAGUUUAUAAAAAUGGACCGUUGCAUCGUAUAAGUUAGCGUUAUAGCUUCCUCAUUCAAUAUAUAAUGACCUAUGCACUCCCACAAUCUCUUAUUUUGAAUGCUAUAAACUUAAUUUUUUACAAGGUAACUGUCUAUCUAAAUAUUCUUUGUCGUGAAUGGAAAGAAAUAGAAGCUUGUGUAAGGCCUCUGGGAACUAGAACUAAUUCUACAAACUAUUUCUGACAGUACUAAUCACAGUAUGACAACUCAGUCUCUUUUCUCUGUAGGAAAUGAUUGGGCACUAAUCUGACUGGAUGCAAAAGAGUUUAUCCAACUGCUCAGGGUAGAGACUCAGGAAUUCCCUAGUGCCAGAAAUCCAGCUGGUGGAGCUGGCAUAAAAGAAGACCACAUCUCAUUAAACCAUGCUUUGUUAUCCUUUGGGGUUACUUUUUAUGGGGCAAGUUCAUUGAGAAAGUUGAUGGCAGAGAGGAGGGGAGACUCAAGGAGAAGCAGAUGGCUUGCCACUAUGUUUAUCUACAUUUGUCAACCAGCAGUUGAAAGGAUGGAGAAACAAGGUGGGAGUCUUGCAAGAUGUUCUAGUUUGAUGGAUGAUAGAGAUGCUGCCUCUCUCCUCUACAGCCACUAGUUGAUUUAAUCUGCUAAAGUUGUGUAGUAAUCACUGUAAAUUCAGUGUAUUUUUUAUUAUAAGAGGAAAAGUAUCUAAUACACAUCCAGAAAUUGGUUUACUAUUUUCAGGAUAAAGGAUUCUGUUUCUUCUGAGGGUUUUUAUCCCAAAUACUCUUAGGGAGAGGUUGGCUUUCUAUUCCAAAAUGGUCUGAGCUGAGCAUCUAUAUGACCUGAAAAACUUUAAAUAAAUAUUGGCGUCUUCCUGGGAUGAGUGACCUUAUGUUAAGGGGCAUGGGGAGGCAUCCAGUAUCCAAGAAUGCAAGUCUACAGGAUAGUAGCAGGGAUUAGUGUGAACUGGGAGAGCAAGGAGUGGAGUAAAUAGCACAUGGCGUGGUUGAGCAAGGUUGGUCUCUGCAGAUAAUCAAUCCAAUAUGAGCCAUGGGCUAGGCAGACCAAAGGAGCAGAGAAGGCAUGUUUUCAAUCACAGUGCAGUAAGUAAUUUUGUUGUUUCUUUUAGAGAAGGAUUUUUAUAAAAUGGAAAGGGGGAAGGGAUUUCUCAAACAGAAAAGGAUAAAAUAAAAGAAUAUGAUCUGGCCUGGAAUGAUCCUUUAGACCACUAACAGCAAAAUACUGGAAUGGAUUUACUAUAUUAAAAUAUUGUUGAAAUACUGGUGUCAAAUUGUAUUGAAAGGGAAUUGUUUCUUUAUCUAUGCGAGCUAUCUUCUGUCUAAAUGGUUUCUACUUGUCAGUUUUCUGCUA